GGGAAACCCAGUGUGAUUCGUCACACUAUCAUUAACUGAAUCCAUAGGUUAAUGAGGCGAACCGGGGGAACUGAAACAUCUAAGUACCCCGAGGAAAAGAAAUCAACCGAGAUUCCCCCAGUAGCGGCGAGCGAACGGGGAGGAGCCCAGAGCCUGAAUCAGCAUGUGUGUUAGUGGAAGCGUCUGGAAAGGCGCGCGAUACAGGGUGACAGCCCCGUACACAAAAGCGCAUGUGCUGUGAGCUCGAUGAGUAGGGCGGGACACGUGGUAUCCUGUCUGAAUAUGGGGGGACCAUCCUCCAAGGCUAAAUACUCCUGACUGACCGAUAGUGAACCAGUACCGUGAGGGAAAGGCGAAAAGAACCCCGGCGAGGGGAGUGAAAAAGAACCUGAAACCGUGUACGUACAAGCAGUGGGAGCACCCUUCGGGGUGUGACUGCGUACCUUUUGUAUAAUGGGUCAGCGACUUAUAUUCUGUAGCAAGGUUAACCGUAUAGGGGAGCCGGAGGGAAACCGAGUCUUAACCGGGCGUUAAGUUGCAGGGUAUAGACCCGAAACCCGGUGAUCUAGCCAUGGGCAGGUUGAAGGUUGGGUAACACUAACUGGAGGACCGAACCGACUAAUGUUGAAAAAUUAGCGGAUGACCUGUGGCUGGGGGUGAAAGGCCAAUCAAACCGGGAGAUAGCUGGUUCUCCCCGAAAGCUAUUUAGGUAGCGCCUCGUGAAUUCAUCUCCGGGGGUAGAGCACUGUUUCGGCUAGGGGGCCAUCCCGGCUUACCAACCCGAUGCAAACUGCGAAUACCGGAGAAUGUUAUCACGGGAGACACACGGCGGGUGCUAACGUCCGUCGUGAAGAGGGAAACAACCCAGACCGCCAGCUAAGGUCCCAAAGUCAUGGUUAAGUGGGAAACGAUGUGGGAAGGCCCAGACAGCCAGGAUGUUGGCUUAGAAGCAGCCAUCAUUUAAAGAAAGCGUAAUAGCUCACUGGUCGAGUCGGCCUGCGCGGAAGAUGUAACGGGGCUAAACCAUGCACCGAAGCUGCGGCAGCGAACGUAUCACCCAAGACAACUUUACGGAGUUGACGAUUGACGGAGCGAAGCGACGUCAAAGCGUUCAUUAAAGUCGAGUUGGCUUAGGGAUACGUUCGUUGGGUAGGGGAGCGUUCUGUAAGCCUGUGAAGGUGUGUCGUGAGGCAUGCUGGAGGUAUCAGAAGUGCGAAUGCUGACAUAAGUAACGAUAAAGCGGGUGAAAAGCCCGCUCGCCGGAAGACCAAGGGUUCCUGUCCAACGUUAAUCGGGGCAGGGUGAGUCGACCCCUAAGGCGAGGCCGAAAGGCGUAGUCGAUGGGAAACGGGUUAAUAUUCCCGUACUUGGUGUUACUGCGAAGGGGGGACGGAGAAGGCUAUGUUGGCCGGGCGACGGUUGUCCCGGUUUAAGCGUGUAGGUGUGUGUUCCAGGUAAAUCCGGUUCACUUUAACACUGAGGCGUGACGACGAGGCACUACGGUGCUGAAGCAACAAAUGCCCUGCUUCCAGGAAAA
rnacentral:rRNA from 1 species